rnacentral:rRNA from 1 species
UACGGGGGGAGCAAGCGUUGUUCGGAUUUACUGGGCGUAAAGGGCGCGUAGGCGGCACCGCAAGUCGACUGUGAAAUCUCCGGGCUUAACCCGGAAAGGUCAGCCGAUACUGCGGGGCUAGAGUGCGGAAGGGGCAACUGGAAUUCUCGGUGUAGCGGUGAAAUGCGUAGAUAUCGAGAGGAACACCUGCGGCGAAGGCGGGUUGCUGGGCCGACACUGACGCUGAGGCGCGAAAGCCAGGGGAGCGAACGGG